AUUGAACGCUGGCGGCAGGCCUAACACAUGCAAGUCGAGCGGAUGAACGGAGCUUGCUCCUGGAUCCAGCGUCGCACGGGUGUGUAAUGCCUAGGAAUCUGCCUGGUUGUGUGGGAUAACGUCUGGAAACGGGUGCUAAUACGGAAUACGUCCUGAUGCAGCAAGAGGGGGAACUUCGGACCUCCCGCUAUCGGAUGAGUCUAGGUCGGAUUAGCUAGCUGGUGGGGGAUAGGCCUACCAAGGCGACGAUUCGUAACUGGUCUGACAGUCUGAUCAGUCACCCUGGAAGUGAGACACGGUCCAGACACCUACGGGAAGCCGCAGUGGGGAAUCCUGGGCAAUGGGGGAGAGCCUGAUCCAGCCAUGCGGCGUGUGUGAAGAAGGUCUUACGAUUGGAAAGCACUUUAAGUUGUGAGGAAGGGCAGUAAGUUAAGACCUUGCUGUUUUGACGUUACCAGCAGAAGAAGCACCGGCUAACUUCGUG
rnacentral:rRNA from 1 species